rnacentral:rRNA from 1 species
UACGUAGGGUGCGAGCGUUAAUCGGAAUUACUGGGCGUAAAGUGUGCGCAGGCGGCCGAGCAAGUCGAGUGUGAAAGCCCCGAGCUUAACUUGGGAAUUGCAGUGGAUACUGGCGAGCUGGAGUGCGGUAGAGGAAGGUGGAAUUCCCGGUGUAGCGGUGAAAUGCGUAGAGAUCGGGAGGAACACCAGUGGCGAAGGCGGCCUUCUGGACCAGCACUGACACUCAAGCACGAAAGCGUGGGGAGCAAACAGG